rnacentral:rRNA from 1 species
UGGUGGAGUGAUCUGUCUGGUUAAUUCCGUUAACGAACGAGACCUCGACCUGCUAACUAGUGAAGUCGACUCUUCGGGGUCGACUGCUUACUUCUUAGAGGGACUAUCGGUGUGUAGCCGAUGGAAGUUCGAGGCAAUAACA